AAUGGCCGCGGUAUUAUGACCGUGCAAAGGUAGCAUAAUCAUUAGUUUCUUAAUUGGAGACUGGAAUGAAUGGUUUGACGAGAAAUUGACUGUCUCUUAAUAAUUUUUAGAAUUUAACUUUUAAGUUAAAAGGCUUAAAUAUUUCUUUUGGACGAGAAGACCCUAUAGAGCUUUACAUUAAUAUAAUUUUUAUUAUAUAGAUAAUUUCUUAAUAUUAAUUUAUUUUGUUUGGUUGGGGUGACUUGAAGAAUAAAUAAACUCUUCAUUAUUAAAUCAUUGAUUUAUGUUUAUUUGAUCCAAAAUUUUUGAUUAUAAGAUUAAGUUACCUUAGGGAUAACAGCGUAAUCAUUUUUGAGAGUUCUUAUCGAUAAAUUGGAUUGCGACCUCGAUGUUGGAUUAAGAUUAAUUACGGGUGUAGUGGCUUGAUAAUUAGGUCUGUUCGACCUUUAAAUUCUUACG
rnacentral:rRNA from 1 species